CAGCAGGCAGGUGGGGCCGGUUCCUUGUUCCCUUGCUAUAGAUCAAGUUGCAAAGUCAACAAGACUGGUGUAAGCGGCUGCCUACACUCACACUGCCCGACACGGAACUGCAGCAGGAAAACCCAGGAAGAAACUGAGGGAGGUUAUUACAACCAAGACCUUUUCACCUCAAGUGCAAAACUCCCAGAGCUCUCAAGGACCUGCUGCCUCCCCACCUACCAGCCCACAACCAGCUGCCAAGGAAUCCAGGAACUGACUGCCAGUGUGCAUGUUGGAGUGCUCGAGGGUGCUUCAGCCGGUGUCUUUGCAAAGUGACCGUGAAAUACCAGAAUCAGAAGCCUCAGGACAAUUCCCAAAGGACCCCAGUGGCCAAGCCUAUUUGCAAAGCCAAAACCUGCAGUUAGUCCUUUUCACACCAACCUUUGUAAAGCAACAAUAAACGUUUCUAAUUCUAUGGUAAA